AUAGCGUAUACGCGUGCUGCGGUUAAAAAGCUCGUAGUUGGAUCUCGGUUCCGGAUCGGUGGUGCAUCUUGCGGUGUUUACUGUCGGUCCGGGCGAUUUUGUUGGUUCGUGUAUAGUUCUCUUUACCGGGUGCUAUACGUGGCCAGCACGUUUACUUUGAAAAAAUUGGAGUGCUCAAAACAGGCGCUACAGCCUGAACAUUAGUGCAUGGAAUAAUGGAAUAGGAUCUCGGUUCUAUUUCGUUGGCUUUCGGAGUCGAGGUAAUGAUUAAUAGGAACAGACGGGGGCAUUCGUACUGCGACGUUAGAGGUGAAAUUCUUGGAUCGUCGCAAGACGAACUACUG
rnacentral:rRNA from 1 species